GACGAACGCUGGCGGCGUGCUUAACACAUGCAAGUCGAACGGAAAGGCCCUGCUUUUGUGGGGUGCUCGAGUGGCGAACGGGUGAGUAACACGUGAGUAACCUGCCCUUGACUUUGGGAUAACUUCAGGAAACUGGGGCUAAUACCGGAUAGGAGCUCCUGCUGCAUGGUGGGGGUUGGAAAGUUUCGGCGGUUGGGGAUGGACUCGCGGCUUAUCAGCUUGUUGGUGGGGUAGUGGCUUACCAAGGCUUUGACGGGUAGCCGGCCUGAGAGGGUGACCGGCCACAUUGGGACUGAGAUACGGCCCAGACUCCUACGGGAGGCAGCAGUGGGGAAUAUUGCACAAUGGGCGGAAGCCUGAUGCAGCAACGCCGCGUGCGGGAUGAUGGCCUUCGGGUUGUAAACCGCUUUCGCCUGUGACGAAGCGUGAGUGACGGUAACGGGUAAAGAAGCACCGGCUAACUACGUG
rnacentral:rRNA from 1 species